rnacentral:lncRNA from 1 species
CUCCAGCGGGCGCACGUCGAUCUUGCGUCAACCGGAAGUGCCGAAGUUACUGGCACAGAUAACUUCCGUUUUGCUGUCGUUCGUAUACAUGAUCGUGCUGCGUGCAUAAGGUGUUGAUAUUUCCUCCUCAAAAUGGCAUAAAUUUCCAGGUAAUGAUUGUGCAGUUGCUGAAAGCAGCGCCUAAAGACAAAAAUAGGCGGGUUGAUUUUCUAUGGUAUACCGAAGGGGCCAGAUCCAGCCCAAAAACAGCGAAAAGACGAGGCGGAACGGAAUGCGAACGACAAGAAUGGAGGCAACACCAUGUCGGCCUAGUUAGGAAUCGUCAAGAUCUGAAGAUAACAUUGUUUUAUAGUAGGCAUGAUAGGUGCCAACUUAGCCUACCCACUGAAUUUCUGCCCACAUCAUACAUGUUGUGCCAGCAUCACUUACACCAUCCCCUAACUUAGUGGCUCACAUGGACUUGAACAAUGUGCGAAGGGACGCCACAAUGUUGAGGACACAACAGCUACUGACAGCAGACUGCAAGGAGUACACUGAUUGAUCUUUUCAGAACUUGCAACACCCAUUAGGAGCUUAAAACUUUAGCAGGCCACAUGCUUCAACCGUAUAUACAGGAUGUUCUGUGCUUGAUCCCAGCCUGGCACACUGUGGAUUUUUUCCUGAGGGAAGCAAUAUAUAGUGUUAAUAAAUUUAUGUUGCAGGAAAGAAAUCACAAGCUUACUUUAUAUUGCAAUUUCCUCAUUCAUUUCAUCUUACCUCCUUGAAAACUGAAGUAGUUGAUUUCAAAGAAUGAAGAUUUUAGGAGGCGUUCUUUAAUCACCAAUAUUAAUGCCAGAGUCCACAGGUCAAGUAUCAUGAUGACUAGUGCACAUUACACAUUUCAUCUGUGUCACAUAAUGUUGUACAUGAGUACCUGCAGAAUCUUUAAGAACUCUGCUCUAUUCCAUAUCUUUGGGGAUACCACUGCCCUCAGUUACGCCACCUACAUAAAAGCCUGUCGUGAAUAUGGACAAAUUCAACUAAUAAAGAAAGGCGUCUUACAGGAUGUUUUAAUGAAACCUCAAUUUUAUUUAACAAAAUUGAUAGAGACAACUUUGAAACUAUUAUAUAAUAAAUGAGGUGCUUGAAAAAAAUAUAAUGUUUGUAUGUGUACAUUGUAAAUCUGUUUAUUUACAUUUUGUAAUUCAGAAUUUUUGGGGAUUUGGUGAUUUGCAAACUAAUCUGAGUAAUGUUUAGAAGUUUUAUAUUUAUGGCUUUUUAUUGAUAUAUUGCAAACAUACCUGUCAACAUAAAAAAAUUUAGUUAGCAGGAAAUCCUAGAAAUUGUUCAUAGUCCACUUUCAUUUUUGUGGGGUUCAUCACAUAAAGGGGGGACGGUUCAAUAUCCCAUCCCCAUCUAAAAUGUGGGAGAAUAUUUUUACCCUCGUGGGUCAUCAAACAUACUCGGUCCAAGUAACUUGGACUCCACCAAUUGCCAUCAAGGAUGUCCAAAUGUUAAAAAUGCAACUCAUGGAGUCCAAAUCACCAGAUUACCAGUAACUAAGCAAAAAUGCCAUUCCCCCUCCAUGCCCUUGUUCAUAUGACAGCUUAAGAAUUAAGUCAUACCAUGGCCAUAUGCCCUGUAAUCCCUGGCAAGCACCUGGUCAAUCAUGACUCAAAAAGAACCUGAUUUUGUGACCGUUAUUUGGUUAAGCAGGAAGUGCUUAUAUUUUUCAUGUUUAGCAAAAAAGGAGGAACCAAAUGUACUGUUUGUUACCUGUCCACUCCUGACCACCAUAACUCCACUCGGCAACAGUGCCCUUUUUAGAAUGUCCUUGUACCUCUGCCCUCUUCUGGAUCCUAAAAUGGCCCCACCUGCCAUACAUCAAUCAUUGUACCCCAUUGGACCUAGCCCCAUGUAUAGAGUGUACAUGUAUAUAAUAUAGUUGUACUCCUGCAUCUGACGCACAAUAAACGAAGCAACCAUCAGAACAACU